AUACGGAGGGUGCGAGCGUUAAGCGGAAUUACUGGGCGUAAAGCGUACGUAGGCGGUUGGUUAAGUUAGAUGUGAAAGCCCCGGGCUUAACCUGGGAACUGCAUUUAAAACUGGCGAACUAGAGUUGAGUAGAGGGGAGUGGAAUUUCAGGUGUAGCGGUGAAAUGCGUAGAGAUCUGAAGGAACACCAGUGGCGAAGGCGACUCCCUGGACUCGAACUGACGCUGAGGUACGAAAGCGUGGGUAGCAAACGGGAGUAGAAACCCCAGUAGUCC
rnacentral:rRNA from 1 species